CUGGUGUGAAUCAUUUGAGCUCCUUGGUAAAGGACUUAAUAAACUAGUCUUAAAGCAAGAGCUCAAGUGAUUUACACCAGAAACACCAAAAGUGGGGACGCCCCAGCUGCUGGAGAAGAUGCAUGAAUAACAGAUCUCACCAGCUGUACAUUUUUAAAAAUAAACCUUUAUU